UACAGAGGGUGCGAGCGUUGUCCGGAAUCACUGGGCGUAAAGGGCGCGUAGGUGGCCUGGUAAGUAGGGGGUGAAAUCUCGUGGCUCAACUGCGAGGCUGCCUCCUAAACUGUCAGGCUCGAGCAGAGUAGAGGCAGGUGGAAUUCCCGGUGUAGCGGUGGAAUGCGUAGAGAUCGGGAAGAACAUCGGUGGCGAAGGCGGCCUGCUGGGCUCUUGCUGACACUGAGGCGCGACAGCGUGGGGAGCAAACAGG
rnacentral:rRNA from 1 species